rnacentral:misc_RNA from 1 species
GGAGAAAAUCGUAGAAACAGUGAAGGAAAACCCAGUAGUAGUUGUUAUUGGUGAGACUGGUUCUGGUAAAAGUACACAACUUCCACAAAUACUUUACCGAAGGGGCUAUGCUAAAUCUGGAAUCAUCGCUGUUACUCAGCCUCGCCGUGUUGCUGCUGUUUCUGUUUCUAGACGAGUUGCACAGGAGCAAAAUGUUCGAAUUGGAGAGGAAGUCGGUU